GCCUCCUCUGCUAGCUAAAUCCCCCCGUCGUGUUAGCUGGAACUUUCUAGAAGCAUUCAUACCCCAGACAGAGGAAAGACUGGUGUAAAAAGUGGGGAAAAGGAGUUGUUGGAACAGCUUGCCACCAGCCAUCAGCCACGCCAGGCUUACGCAGGGGGCAGCCCUCAGUGUCAGGGAUCCUGAGGUGGCAGAGGCCAAUGCUGGUGGAGAGGUGGGUAACCAGUACCUGGCCUGGACUACUUACAGUUGACCAACCCAGGAGUGGCAAGAGCACGGAAGGAUUCCCCCAGCGUCCCAGGUGCCGGAGUGUGUGUUUAGUGAAGGGUGAGGACCAUCUGCCGGGGCUGGGUGAAAUCAGUACAACAUGCAGGUGCUGGGGUAUUUACCCCAGCACGCAAGCCACCAGAUCUAGAUCAUUCAUCAAAUUGGAAGCUGCAGUAUACAUGUCCAGUCCAGCAUAGAGCAACAGCACACCAACGAUCACUAGCAGUCCUCCAGCCUCGGCCCCCGUCCUGAUGAUGUAAUUAUUUCCCAGUGGCACCUGGGAGCAACGGCCGCCAUUCGGAGGCAUCGCUCACAGCCAAUGAGGUGCUUCUUUGCUGUGACACCCAUGGCCUUUGGAGCCCAGAACCCCCCCUGUGGAGACCAGAGAGACGUGUACCCUUGAUCACUGUGUCCCCUGGAGACUGUCACACACACACAUUUAAAUUACUACGCUUGUGGGGACUUCACAAACUACAUUCAACACCCCCACCCCCCCACCCCAAUCUUGACCUUAACCUGUUACUAAUAAUAACAAAAAUGCUACUAUAAACCCUAAAAUCAACCAACUAACGGAGUUCCCUCACCUUUCCAUACUUGUAAGGACACCUUCUUACCAUCUGUUUGUUUGUAGUCACAUCUUCAGUCAUACUGUGAAGCAGAGAUUGGAUAUUUAUGUUAAAAUAACUGCAUUAUCUAAUUCAGUUAUAUUAAUUAAUAUGAUAAUUAUCACAGAGCUGUAUUUGCAAUUACCAUAAUAACUGAAGAUGAACAGGGUUUGUUAGUGGACACAAAAAAGAGACAAUGACAAUGAAAGAAACUGCACAUGUAAUGUGUCAGGUUCAAUAUCCUUACAUUUUUUUC